GGCAUCUUCUCAUCCCCACCAUCACAAGAAUGCUGUCUAGGAAGAAGCUGGAACAGACCUGGCUUAAAAGCAGACUAGGCAUGGGACAGCAAAUCAGCAGUUCAAGGAACUGAGGAGAGAAGAACAAAGAGCAGAGGGAUCUAACUGAGGAUACCACAUUGCAUUUGGUUACCAUGUUUCCGGAGUCUUCUCCAGUCUGGCAGAAUCAAACUACAGCCAACUUAUGGUGAGGAGCUCUUCAAACCAUUACUGAAAUUGCCAUUAAGAUACACCUGCUGCACAAGAGAACUAGAUUUGGUCAUCCUGAGUAUGGUGGUGAUAUCUUCCUCAGUGAGAAAGAAAUUACAAGAACAGAAGUUAGUUGGGUGCCUGUGAAGCACUGGUGAGAUUAGGCUAUGCAGAGAGGAAAACUCGGUAAGAUUCUGCGGCUAAACACAUUAAAAUUGCAUUAUGUGUCUUACUCCAUGCUACUCCAUGUCCAAACAGCUUUCUCAAGUACUUCUUUCCACCGGAUUUCUGCCUUUUCUUCCCCCACCUUCACCUCAUGAAGUUCUGUGCAUCGUUCAAGGUCAAUUUCUAGCAUCAGGCCCUUCAAGAUCUUGCUCACAUGGGAUUGUAAUACCAUUGAAAUUAAAGCAGAGCGAUGCAUUUAGGAAAUCUCCUGACUUAAAAUGCUUCACAGAACUCCAAAAUUAAAUGACAUCAUACAUGUAAAAUGCUGAGCAGAACACAUGUAAUUUGGCAAGACGUCCUUGUGAAAAAAGAUAAAGAGGGGAUUUGAACAUCAUGCAGGAGAACAUUUCUGAAUUACAUCAGAUGUGGCAAUAUUACUGUAUUUUGAAACUGCUUAAAAGCAGAGAGUUGAACAAAAAUCAAAAUGACUCCAUAAAAUCUUCAAUGAGGUUGGAUUUUAAACUAAGUGAUCUUUUCCCUCUCUUCUGCAAACCUCCCUCACUCCUUUCUUGGCUUUUAGUUUCUGGAACCAGCACCACCCUGAAAACAACUAAGGAGGUUGGCAGCAUAAACAUAAUUCUGGUAGAACCCCACUUGAUCCUGGCUUUCCCUAUAAAACCCCCUAGCCCCUUCCUCUGGACAGGCUUGCAGUUUUUGAAGGCCAUAGCCUGUGGCAGCCUCCUUUGUCUUGCAAAGCAAUAAAACUAUUGUUUCUCUCUA